rnacentral:rRNA from 1 species
CCUACGGGAGGCAGCAGUGAGGAAUAUUGGUCAAUGGGCGAGAGCCUGAACCAGCCAAGUCGCGUGAGGGAAGACGGUCCUAUGGAUUGUAAACCUCUUUUGCCGGGGAGCAAAAAGCGGUACGUGUACCGCAACGAGAGUACCCGGAGAAAAAGCAUCGGCUAACUCCGUUCCAGCAGCCGGGGUAAUACGGAGGAUGCGAGCGGUAUCCGGAUGUAUUGGGGUUAAUGGGUGCGCAGGCGGCGUGUUAAGUCAGCGGUAAACGUUCGGGGCCAAACCCCGACGGGCUGUUGAAACUGGCUUGAUAGAGUGGGCGAGAAGUAAGCGGAAGGUAUGGGGUAGCGGUGAAAUGCAUAGAGAUCAUACAGAACACCGGUUGCGAAGGCAGCUUACCAAACUACGACUGACGUUGAGGCACGAAAGCGUGGGGAGCAAACAGGAUUAGAUACCCUUGUAGUC